rnacentral:tRNA from 1 species
AGGUGUGUAGCCCAGCGGCAGGGCACCGAGCUGAUAACUCGGGGGUCGCGGGUUCGAUUCCCGUCAUGCCUA